rnacentral:rRNA from 1 species
AGUCGAACGGCAGCACGGGGGCAACCCUGGUGGCGAGUGGCGAACGGGUGAGUAAUACAUCGGAACGUGUCCUGUAGUGGGGGAUAGCCCGGCGAAAGCCGGAUUAAUACCGCAUACGCUCUACGGAGGAAAGGGGGGGAUCUUAGGACCUCCCGCUACAGGGGCGGCCGAUGGCAGAUUAGCUAGUUGGUGGGGUAAAGGCCUACCAAGGCGACGAUCUGUAGCUGGUCUGAGAGGACGACCAGCCACACUGGGACUGAGACACGGCCCAGACUCCUACGGGAGGCAGCAGUGGGGAAUUUUGGACAAUGGGCGAAAGCCUGAUCCAGCAAUGCCGCGUGUGUGAAGAAGGCCUUCGGGUUGUAAAGCACUUUUGUCCGGAAAGAAAACCUCCGCCCUAAUAUGGUGGGGGGAUGACGGUACCGGAAGAAUAAGCACCGGCUAACUACGUGCCAGCAGCCGCGGUAAUACGUAGGGUGCAAGCGUUAAUCGGAAUUACUGGGCGUAAAGCGUGCGCAGGCGGUCCGCUAAGACAGAUGUGAAAUCCCCGGGCUUAACCUGGGAACUGCAUUUGUGACUGGCGGGCUAGAGUAUGGCAGAGGGGGGUAGAAUUCCACGUGUAGCAGUGAAAUGCGUAGAGAUGUGGAGGAAUACCGAUGGCGAAGGCAGCCCCCUGGGCCAAUACUGACGCUCAUGCACGAAAGCGUGGGGAGCAAACAGGAUUAGAUACCCUGGUAGUCCACGCCCUAAACGAUGUCAACUAGUUGUUGGGGAUUCAUUUCCUUAGUAACGUAGCUAACGCGUGAAGUUGACCGCCUGGGGAGUACGGUCGCAAGAUUAAAACUCAAAGGAAUUGACGGGGACCCGCACAAGCGGUGGAUGAUGUGGAUUAAUUCGAUGCAACGCGAAAAACCUUACCUACCCUUGACAUGUAUGGAAUCCUGCUGAGAGGUGGGAGUGCCCGAAAGGGAGCCAUAACACAGGUGCUGCAUGGCUGUCGUCAGCUC